rnacentral:rRNA from 1 species
AACAAACGCUGGCGGCGUGUCUUAAGCAUGCAAGUCGAGCGGCAAGGGCAGCAAUGCCCCUAGAGCGGCGGACUGGUGAGUAACGCGUGGGUGAUCUACCUUGGGCAUGGGGAUAGCCAUUAGAAAUAGUGGGUAAUACCGAAUACGUUCGUUAUCGUGAGGGUAACGAGGAAAGGCGCUACGGCGCCGGCCUGAAGAUGAGCUUGCGUCCCAUUAGCUAGUUGGUGAGGUAACGGCCCACCAAGGCGAUGAUGGGUAGCCGGCCUGAGAGGGUGUACGGCCACACUGGGACUGAGAUACGGCCCAGACUCCUACGGGAGGCAGCAGCUAAGAAUAUUCCGCAAUGGACGAAAGUCUGACGGAGCGACGCCGCGUGGAUGAAGAAGGCCGAAAGGUUGUAAAGUCCUUUUGCCGGGGAAGAAUAAGUCUGGGAGGGAAUGCCCGGAUGAUGACAUGAACCGGCGAAUAAGCCCCGGCUAACUACGUGCCAGCCGCCGCCGUAACAC